rnacentral:rRNA from 1 species
AUGGAGCUUCCUCAGCUGGCGUCCUUCCUCGGCGUGGUGCUCGCCACGGUGCUCUUCCUCAAGGCUGUCCUCCGCCGCCGCCGCCGCCAGUACAACCUCCCGCCGGGCCCCAAGCCUUGGCCGAUCAUCGGCAACCUCAACCUCAUCGGCACGCUCCCGCACCGCUCCAUCCACGCUCUCUCCAAGAAGUACGGCCCCCUCAUGCAACUGCAGUUCGGCUCCUUCCCCGUCGUCGUCGGCUCCUCCGUCGAGAUGGCCAAGUUCUUCCUCAAGACCCACGACGUGGUGUUCACCGAUCGCCCCAAGACCGCCGCCGGCAGGUACACCACCUACAACUACAGCGACAUCACCUGGUCCCCCUACGGCGCCUACUGGCGCCAGGCCCGCAAGAUGUGCCUCACCGAGCUCUUCAGCGCCAAGCGGCUCGAGUCGUACGAGUACAUCCGCAGGGAGGAGGUUCUCGCCCUGCUCGGCGACCUGUAUCGCGGCGGCGCCGGCGCCGGCCGCGUGGUGGUGCUCAAGGACUACCUGUCCACGGUGAGCCUGAACGUGAUCACGCGCAUGGUGAUGGGCAAGAAGUACCUGGAGAAGGAGGUGAAGGACGAGGCAGGGGCGGUGAUCACGACGCCCGAGGAGUUCAAGUGGAUGAUCGACGAGCUGUUCCUGCUCAACGGCGUGCUCAACAUCGGCGACUCCAUCCCGUGGCUGGACUGGAUGGACCUGCAGGGGUACAUCAAGAGGAUGAAGAAGCUGAGCAAGAUGUUCGACCGGUUCCUGGAGCACGUGGUGGAUGAGCACAGCAAGCGCCGUCGCCGCGAGGGGGAGAGCUUCGUGGUGAAGGACAUGGUGGACGUGCUGCUGCAGUUCGCCGGCGAUCCCGGUCUUGAGGUCAAGCUCAACAGAGAGGGCGUCAAGGCUUUCACUCAGGACCUCAUUGCCGGCGGCACAGAGAGCUCGGCGGUGACAGUGGAAUGGGCCCUCUCAGAGCUCCUGAAAAAGCCAGAGGUGCUCGCCAAAGCCACGGAGGAGCUGGACCGUGUGGUGGGGAGAGGCCGAUGGGUCACCGAAAAGGACAUGCCGAGCCUUCCAUAUGUGGAUGCCAUCGUCAAAGAGACCAUGCGGUUGCACCCGGUGGCACCGAUGCUUGUACCCCGCCUUUCCCGUGAGGACACGUCCAUCAACGGCUACGACAUCCCCGCCGGCACACGGGUGCUAGUCAUGGUGUGGUCUAUUGGCCGUGACCCGAAGUUGUGGGAGGCGCCGGAGGAGUUCAUGCCAGAGCGUUUCCUCGACAGCAGACUCGACGUCAAGGGGCAGGACUAUGAGCUGCUUCCAUUCGGGUCAGGACGCAGGAUGUGCCCCGGGUAUAGUUUGGGACUAAAGGUGAUCCAGGUAAGCCUGGCAAACCUGCUGCAUGGGUUCACAUGGAGACUCCCUGACGGUGUAGAGCUGAGCAUGGAGGAGAUCUUCGGCUUGUCCACACCACGUAAGUUCCCGCUGGAGGCCGUUGUGGAGCCCAAGCUACCAGCUCACCUCUAUGCCGAGGCUUGA